GGCGGUGCGACAUGAAGACGAGGGCAAAACUACACCAAAAGAAUGUCUGUUGGAAAAUGGCGUUACUUUACAGCAAGGCUGAUUCAAGUUUCCACCAAAUCCAUGGGGUCCAAACGUUUUCCCGCUGGCCGCCGUCCCUCUCAAAUAGAAUCCAAAUGUUGGUCUUUAGGUUUAUUUUUCUGCCUCGCCGAUUACCGUUAACAAGGUGGACGUGGACAAUUCAACCAUUUUUAAAUGUCCCACCAUUCAAUCUCUGAAAAUGACAAGUUCGUAUUGGCUACAUACGUGACGGGCACAAAUGAUACACAAGGAGAAACUUUUAGGCGUUUAAUGUAAUCGAAAGCCACCUC